rnacentral:rRNA from 1 species
GACGAACGCUGGCGGCGUGCUUAACACAUGCAAGUCGAGCGGAGCGGCGAACGGGUGAGUAACGAGUGAGUAACUGCCCCCCUCUCUGGGAUAACAGUUGGAAACGGCUGCUAAUACCGGAUAGUGGGGGAUGACUCGCGACAUAUCAGCUUGUGGGGGGGGUAGUGUCAUACGAAGGCGACGACGGGUAGCCGGCCUGAGAGGGCGACAGGCCAAAUUGGGCUGAGAUACGGGCCAAACUCGGACGGGUGGCAGCAGUGGGGAAUAUUGCACAAUGGUGGAAACCCUGAUGCAGCAACGCGCGUGCGGGAUGACGGCCUUCGGGUUGUAAACCUCUUUCAGCCAUGACGCGGUAGUGGCAGAAGAAGCACCGGCUAACUACGUGCCAGCAGCCGCGGUAAUAC